rnacentral:rRNA from 1 species
AACGAACGCUGGCGGCAGGCUUAACACAUGCACGUCGAGCGCCCUGCAAGGGGAGCGGCAGACGGGUGAGUAACGCGUGGGAAUCUACCCAUCUCUACGGAAUAACGCAUGGAAACGUGUGCUAAUACCGUAUACGUCCUUCGGGAGAAAGAUUUAUCGGAGAUGGAUGAGCCCGCGUUGGAUUAGCUAGUUGGUGGGGUAAAGGCCUACCAAGGCGACGAUCCAUAGCUGGUCUGAGAGGAUGAUCAGCCACACUGGGACUGAGACACGGCCCAGACUCCUACGGGGGGCAGCAGUGGGGAAUAUUGGACAAUGGGCGCAAGCUUGAUCCAGCCAUGCCGCGUGAGUGAUGAAGGCCCUAGGGUUGUAAAGCUCUUUCACCGGUGAAGAUAGUGACGGUAACCGGAGAAGAAGCCCCGGCUAACUUCGUGCCAGCCGCCGCAGUAAAAC